CCAAGCUGGGUAACGUGUCAAAUGGCCAUCCCCAAGCCAAGCUGGGUAACGUGUCAAAUGGGCAUCCCCAAGCCAAGCUGGGUAACGUGUCAAAUGGCCAUCCCCAAGCCAAGCUGGCUUUUGUUUUGUUACGUUUUACUGCACUGACUGUUGGAUCUAUGAACGUAAACAUUUCAUUUCGUUGCAGGGGCGAUAACAUCCGCUGAAUAUGAGUACAUGACAAAGACCAUUUGAUUUGAUUGAUGUGCUUGUUUUCAUUACGUAAAUGCUUCAGAAUUCACAAAAAGUGACGUUAUAGAGUCUCAUAGAACACAACGUAUCCGAUCUCCUAAGCCUGUGUUCACCACAGACCUUAUUUUCCGUGUUUAUCCAAAAACCCUACAAAAAACUAUUAAUUACCCCAUAGGCUUUGUCCAACGAAGCAUGGCAGAGAGUUAGUGCCUACAAAAAGACGCCAUUAAUAUUUGUCUCUGUUGGCGUCUUUCAGCGUUGCCUUCAGGUCGACUGAACGUUUGCUACGUUGUGGAACGGUUUGUGCUGAACGACACGGUUUGCCAAAACAUUAUUGUACGUUCUUGAACAGACUUUGAGAUACGUUUGCUACGUUCGGUGGGUGUGCCAGGGUGUGACUUUAAUCAAUGAGUGAUGUAUUUAAAAGGAGCUGUACAUUUUCAACACACAACCCCUCCCCGUUUUUCCAACUGGUCGUUCAGUACAGUACCGUUUUUGUUCGAUUGAACGUUGUUUUACGUUUGUAUGUACAGAAAGCAGCCCAGUGGAUGCUGCCAAUAUGACGUGUAUUCUAGUGGACGGGACGCUUCUUCGAGAACAACAACAGUCAGUCAGACACCUGGUUAGCGUGCUAGCCAACAUCGCAGAAACAUUAAGGCCCUUCAGACCAUUUCAGUGUCUAUUUGCCACUGUGUUUAGAACACACUUAUGUCGUAUGUACUUGUUACCCCGUUUAAUGUAAUAUUUACGUUGUUAGUCAGCUAAAUUAGCCUAGCCCUAAGCUAAUGCUAUCUAGCUAGCUAACACCCCUGACCAUGAGUUCACUAAGUUACUCUCCUCCUGUUAAAGAAGAGGUUGUCUGCUGGACGGAGAAAUAGGGUCUUUGGCUGAACGUUGUUGAGAAAGAAGAGGAGGAUAUCACAGUAAAACGAAGUAGAGGGUGAACCUGUUACAAUGAAAGAAGAAGAGAAAGACCUUUCAGUGAAAGAGGAAGACGCGUUCAGAGUGAAAGAGGUGGAUGUUACAGUAAAAGAAGAGGAAGUGAAAGAGGAGGAUGCAGUUUUUGGAUUGAAGGAGGAGGAAGAAGAGGAGGAGACUGAAGAUCGGAUUAACACCAGUAUGUUUUGAUGUUAGAGGAUGCCAACCCCCAGUCCCGUCAUCGCCACCUCACCCGCUUUUAAGAUAACCUUUGGGCCAACUAGAGACAGUAUUAUGUAAUUGUGAUGAACUGAGAGAAUAUUUAGGUAGCACUGUGUUUCAUUAAUCAUGUGCUGCCUUCCCUGCUCCUAUGUGCUUACCUCUUUCCCUUUCUGUCUUUUACACCUCUCCCGCCAGCUCUUUCUUCCUCUGUUUUUAUAAUGCACAACAGAUGUGCAUUGAAGUACAGAUUGAACUUGUAUUUAUAACACUUGGAUAAUGAGCUUUUCAAUAAAGCAUUUCACAUUC